rnacentral:tRNA from 1 species
AGCAAAGUAGUUUCAUAAUUAAAACGAUAGGCUGUGGUCCUGUCAAAGGUAUAUAAUAAAGCCCUUUGCUU